UAAUUUAUCAGGUUUCCGGAAAAUUGGAAGUGGUAUUUUUCUUUCCAUUUUUGCCUCUUUUUUCAUUAAUUUUGGCCUCAGCAGAAAAACUCGACCUGGAAAAGGACCAUCCUUACUCUUUCCUAUUGAAGUGAAGAACAUCAAAUUUGCCAAA